rnacentral:rRNA from 1 species
UACGGAGGGGGCCAGCGUUGUUCGGAAUCAUUGGGCGUAAAGGGCGCGUAGGCGGGGAUGUAAGUCGGGCGUGAAAUCCCCAGGCUCAACCUGGGAACUGCACUCGAAACUGCGUUUCUUGAGUAUCGGAGAGGAAAGCGGAAUUCCUGGUGUAGAGGUGAAAUUCGUAGAUAUUGGGAAGAACACCGAUGGCGAAGGCAGCCAUCUGGACCGACACUGACGCUGAGGCGCGAAAGCGUGGGGAGCAAACAGG